CAGUGAUAAACUGGAGGAAGGUGGGGAUGACGUCAAGUCAUCAUGGCCCUUACGACCAGGGCUACACACGUGCUACAAUGGCGCAUACAAAGAGAAGCGACCUCGCGAGAGCAAGCGGACCUCAUAAAGUGCGUCGUAGUCCGGAUUGGAGUCUGCAACUCGACUCCAUGAAGUCGGAAUCGCUAGUAAUCGUGGAUCAGAAUGCCACGGUGAAUACGUUCCCGGGCCUUGUACACACCGCCCGUCACACCAUGGGAGUGGGUUGCAAAAGAAGUAGGUAG
rnacentral:rRNA from 1 species